rnacentral:rRNA from 1 species
GACGAACGCUGGCGGCGUGCUUAACACAUGCAAGUCGAACGGAAAGGCCCUGCUUUUGUUGGGUGCUCGAGUGGCGAAAGGGUGAGUAACACGUGAGUAACCUGCCCUUGACUUUGGGAUAACUUCAGGAAACUGGGGCUAAUACCCGAUAGGAGCUCCUGCUGCAUGGUGGGGGUUGGAAAGUUUCGGCGGUUGGGGAUGGACUCGCGGCUUAUCAGCUUGUUGGUGGGGUAGUGGCUUACCAAGGCUUUGACGGGUAGCCGGCCUGAGAGGGUGACCGGCCACAUUGGGACUGAGAUACGGCCCAGACUCCUACGGGAGGCAGCAGUGGGGAAUAUUGCACAAUGGGCGGAAGCCUGAUGCAGCAACGCCGCGUGCGGGAUGACGGCCUUCGGGUUGUAAACCGCUUUCGCCUGUGACGAAGCGUGAGUGACGGUAAUGGGUAAAGAAGCACCGGCUAACUACGUG